rnacentral:rRNA from 1 species
GAUGAACGCUGGCGGCGUGCCUAAUACAUGCAAGUCGAGCGAACGGACGAGAAGCUUGCUUCUCUGAUGUUAGCGGCGGACGGGUGAGUAACACGUGGAUAACCUACCUAUAAGACUGGGAUAACUUCGGGAAACCGGAGCUAAUACCGGAUAAUAUUUUGAACCGCAUGGUUCAAAAGGGAAAGACGGUCUUGCUGUCACUUAUAGAUGGAUCCGCGCUGCAUUAGCUAGUUGGUAAGGUAACGGCUUACCAAGGCAACAAUGCAUAGCCGACCUGAGAGGGUGAUCGGCCACACUGGAACUGAGACACGGUCCAGACUCCUACGGGAGGCAGCAGUGGGGAAUCUUCCGCAAUGGGCGAAAGCCUGACGGAGCAACGCCGCGUGAGUGAUGAAGGUCUUCGGAUCGUAAAACUCUGUUAUUAGGGAAGAACAUAUGUGUAAGUAACUGUGCACAUCUUGACGGUACCUAAUCAGAAAGCCACGGCUAACUACGUG